rnacentral:lncRNA from 1 species
CCAAUAUACCAUAUUAAAGUUGUACCUUAUUGCAUUUCUCACAGCUAACAUACCUGAGUUAAGUUAUGCCUUGAUAAGAUUAAAACUCAAGGAAACAAAAUGAGCAGUUUCAACAAACAAGAAUCUAGGACAUACCCAUUAUGAACUUAGGAUGUACUGAGAUAACUAGGAAGCUACAGAUAGGCGAAGCAGUAGCAGCUCAUGGAGCUGCCCUUCACAAACCUUGAACUAGCUUUCAUCUUGCUGGCUUUUGUCAUUUUCACCUUGUUUACCCUGGCUUCUAUCUACAGUGGCUCCUACGACAACAAAGAAGUUAGAUGCCAACAGGCUAGCAUCUGGCACAAUCUGCAGGACAUGGAUUAGAGUGAAAGUUUGGAAAUCUGUAGUGGUGUGAUGUUCUGAAGGAGGCUGCAGCACGUGUUUCCUGCUGCCCUUUUAGAAGAGGCUAAACCCACUGUCACAACUUCUAUGGAACAUCAUUUUCAUGCCCCAGUGCCACUGUAGCUCUUCUAUAUAAGGGAUAACUGUGAUGAAGCAGUCUUCUGAUUUUCUAGGAUUCUUUCUUAUGUGUAGCAGGUAAGGCUUGACUUUAAUUCUUUUCACUAUUUGACCAGUGUCCCUGUCAGGAACCAACCAACAGCUCCUUGGGGCAAAGUGCAAUGUGCUUCAUAGAGUUUUGUUCUAAGGAAUAUAAAAGAUGACAGAUUUAUUGUAAAAAGGUAAAAGAGAGUGAGAUUUUAAGAACUUGUGAUGCAUUUGCUGCCAAGAGCAGUCAUUAGAAGAACAGUUCCAAGCAGAGUCUAUGCAAUAAAUCUCCCACUGGAGGGAGAUGUCUAGUCA